rnacentral:rRNA from 1 species
GACGAACGCUGGCGGCGUGCUUAACACAUGCAAGUCGAACGGAAAGGCCCUGCUUGCAGGGUACUCGAGUGGCGAACGGGUGAGUAACACGUGGGUGAUCUGCCCUGCACUUCGGGAUAAGCCUGGGAAACUGGGUCUAAUACCGGAUAGGAGCCAUUUUUAGUGUGAUGGUUGGAAAGUUUUUUCGGUGUAGGAUGAGCUCGCGGCCUAUCAGCUUGUUGGUGGGGUAAUGGCCUACCAAGGCGGCGACGGGUAGCCGGCCUGAGAGGGUGGAUGGCCACAUUGGGACUGAGAUAAGGCCCAGACUCCUACGGGAGGCAGCAGUGGGGAAUAUUGCACAAUGGGCGCAAGCCUGAUGCAGCGACGCCGCGUGGGGGAUGACGGCCUUCGGGUUGUAAACUCCUUUCGCUAGGGACGAAGCUUUUUGUGACGGUACCUAGAUAAGAAGCACCGGCUAACUACGUG